UGACAUGCUGGUGCAACAACCCGGUGGUUGA
rnacentral:sRNA from 1 species